GCUUGAGCGUGCCCUCUGCCAAGAGGAAAAUGUGUCUAGGAUUGAAGCCGUGCAGCUCUGUACUGAACUGUGCUCUUUGUUUACAAGCUCUUUUGGUUUCACCACCCUUUAAGCAAGAUCUCAUGUCUUGUUUUCUUUCUAUUACAUCAGUAUUAAUUUGUUGGAAAGCUGAAUGAAGAUCUUUGAUUCAAAGUACAUCAAGUUGGAGAGAUGAGCAAGAGAGUUGAUUCAAUCAGAGCUGAGAUUUUCUAGGUGAGAACAAAGAAUGAAACAGAGGUCACGGACUUGAAGGUAUAUGCAAACCAGUGAUUAUAAAGAGGUGAAAUGCCAAAGUUAUGUUAAAAUGGACAUGGGUAAAGUUGAUAGUAGAAGGCAAACAUUGCAGAAAGAUUGAAAUAAAAUAUGAAGUUUGGGAAAAAGUUAUGCUUGUUGGAAUUGCUUAGCCUAUAUUGCCAAUCAACAAGGAUAUAUUAUUUACUUUGAGGAGAUGAAAGAUACUUGUGGGAAAGUUUAAGAAACACUGUUUGAGGAAGCAUUUUUUAAAUUAUAACUAUUGAUGCAAGUUUAAGAUAAUAUUUUUACUGAUUGUGACCUUAAUAAUUCAGAUUAUAUGAUUUCAAGUCUGAUCAAUUUUAGUGGAUGUGUGUGAAAACAUUUUGACUUGGUGAAACUCAUGGAAUAUUUUUAUAGUUAUGAACUUUCAUUGCAGAGCAUAUAUUAGUCAAGCUGUUUAGCUGUUACUAAUAAAAAAGUGAGAUGCUAAUAAAAAAUGACAACUGAGAUGGGUCUACAUUUUAAAAAAAUGAUUUUAAAGACAAGAAAAAUGAAGUUAAAUACAGGUAUCAAUUUUUUCAGCCCAUAAGUUGGAAACAUAUUUAGUUUAUCCUUAUAAGGUUCUACAGAUUUUUACGUAGAUUUAUUUUUAGAUUUGGAAAUGGUUUUAU